UGAAGCAUCCGCAAAAACAUCAACUAGUACAGAAAAUAAAAAUAAAAAAACUCUAAAUUUUGUGAUCUAUAUAGUACAACAGCAAAUUAGUAGUAUAGUACUGCUUACAGUCAUUCUCAAACUAAUACACAUCUACAUUCUCAAACUAAUACACAUCUAAAUUACAAGUUUUGAUAUUUUAAUCAGAAAUACUCAACAAUGAACUCAAAGAGUACUUUUCUGAGACAACCAAUUAUAAGGAGAAAAGUGAAGAA
rnacentral:lncRNA from 1 species